UACGGAAGGGGCAAGCGUUGUUCGGAAUCAUUGGGCGUAAAGGGCGCGUAGGUGGCUCUGUAUGUCUACCGUGAAAGCAUACAGCUCAACUGUAUUUUGUCGGUAGAAACUGCAGGACUUGAGGCUGGGAGGGGCUGGUGGAAUUCCCGGUGUAGCGGUGAAAUGCGCAGAUAUCGGGAGGAACACCAGUGGCGAAGGCGGCACUCUGG
rnacentral:rRNA from 1 species